GCAGCAAUAUCCGAGUACUUAUGGUGGUUGACUCGAAAUCAAUUGGACUCUGCCCUCUUAGGUUCGAAUCCUGCUCGCUGCG
rnacentral:tRNA from 1 species